ensembl:lncRNA
UCUCUUGUAUUCUAGGAAGUAGUGAAUGAGGACGGGGAAAGGUUUGCUGGCACACAGAGGAAAAUCACACCGUUUCAGGCAAGGCAGAACAAACAAUGGUUCUCACCGAUGCUGUGUGCUGUUUGGAAGUGAACGUGAUCACGGAGUGAGGGAAGGGCUGUGCUGGAGCCUUACUACACACUGGAGAAACCACACAGGGCUGAGCUGUUUUGAACGCCCCGUGUCUGACGAACUCUCCAGUUGCAGCUCAGUAGGACAGCCUGCUCUGCAGGCAGGGCUUGGCCUCUUCUGGAUGCGACGCCUCGAGGGCACCCAGGCAGAAGGGAAAGACCGCAUGGGGACGGACGGUGCACCUCUGCUCUGAGCGGUGCUGUGCUGGAAUACAGGAGAAAAACCUCCAGGAUCUCUGACUUAGGGGCUCUGAUGGGGAGAAGUCCAAUCGCUGACCUCCCGCAGAGGCUGUCUGAUAAGCUUGUCUGUCCCUCAUACCUACCCAGGCGCUUUGCUGACAGCACACGAUGCUCUUAGAGGAAUUCUCCAGAACUUCUGCCCGCGGCCAUAAAUGCGGUUACCUGUUGAUCCCUUUCCCCUCCGCAGCACAGAAAGGCGAGCUGCCUCGUCCUAUGGGAGCUGGUUUGGUGCCUUGGAAAGGAGCUGUGGCUGCAGGUGUUGCGUGGAAGACGAUUUAGGGAGGACAGCAUUAGGGUUUGCAGCAGAGAUGGGGCUCUGUGAUGCAUACCCCAACCCUCUUGGGAAGGCACAAGAGGAUGGAUGGUGUAACCUCAGCUCAUCGCUGAAGUAACCACCCACAGCUCCGACUGUGUUGGAGAAAACAUUGGUGUUUGGAAUACGUUCUCCAGGUGUCCAGGAGCCUUCAGCCUCCCGGGGUCCCCACCAAAGUGACCCCCACCUCCUCCAGAACACACAGAUGGGGCACAGAGCAGCGGAUUCAGCAGUGCAGCAUCUGGUUUCUGUUCGGUGCUCUGAGAUCACGAACCGCCCCAUCCAAAGCUCAUCCCGUAGGUGCAGCCAUGGGUGCUGGGAUCCCUUCCUGGGUCCGACAGCCCCCGGAGCAUCUCCUCCCUCCACCCCAAAUCAAACGGAACCAAUGGAAUGCAUACAUCCUUUCCAACCAUGCUAACCGCAAUGGUACUAAUUAGCACUCCGCUAAAUGGCCGUGAUUAGUUUAGCAGCUGAUGGAAUAUUUAAUCUAGAAUGUCUCUCUAUUUUGGGGGGGGGGGAAGAAAAAAGCAAACCGAAAAAGCGGGUCGUUUAUUUAUUUCUCUAACAAAUUCCUGCUGCUGGCCAUGCUGAAAACGUGAAUCACGCAGCGGGAGCUGAGACUGGAGUGGCUCUUCUACCGAAGGGAAAAAAAAAAAAAAAGAAAAAGAAAAAGAAAAGCAGAUUAAAGUGCAGGAAACGCAGCUUGUGAGAUGAGGCAGGCGCCUCGCAAAGCCAUUUGCAACACAAAGUUAACGAAUAACGCCGGGCUCGGAGCACGAUAAAUGAACGAGCGCAAAAUAGCAGAGCUUCCCCCUCCAUCGUGCUGAUGGAGCGGUGGUUCCCCCCA